rnacentral:rRNA from 1 species
UUCCGGUUGAUCCCGCCGGACCCCACUGCUAUCGGGAUAGGACUAAGACAUGCUAGUCGAGUGGCUCAGGCAAAACGAGUCACGGCACACAGCUCAGUAACACGUGGCUAAUCUGCCCUUAGGACGAGAACAACCCCGGGAAACUGGGGCUAACUCUUGAUAGGUGAAGAACUCUGGAAUGAGUCUUUGCCUAAAAAGAUUCACGUUAUCCUCGUGAACCUGCCUAAGGAUGAGGCCGCGACCGAUCAGGUUGUUGGCGAGGCAAUGGCUCACCAAGCCUUUUACCGGUGCGGGCCGUGGGAGCGGGAGCCCGGAGAUGGGUACUGAGACAAGGACCCAGGCCCUACGGGGCGCAGCAGUCGCGAAACCUUUGCAAUACACGAAAGUGUGACAGGGCUAUCCCGAGUGCCAUCCGCUGAGGAAGGCUUUUACCCAGUCUAGAACGCUGGGGGAAUAAGGAGAGGGCAAGUCUGGUGUCAGCCGCCGCGGUAAUACCAGCUCUCCGAGUGGUGUGGAUGUUUAUUGGGCCUAAAGCAUCCGUAGCUGGCUAGGUAAGUCCCUUGUUAAAUCCACCGAAUUAAUCGUUGGAUCGCGGGGGAUACUGCUUGGCUAGGGGACGAGAGAGGCAGACGGUAUUUUCGGGGUAGGGGUGAAAUCCUAUAAUCCCGGGAAGACCACCAGUGGCGAAGGCUGUCUGCUAGAACGCGCCCGACGGUGAGGGAUGAAAGCUGGGGGGAGCGAACCGGAUUAGAUACCCGGGUAGUCCCAGCUGUAAACGAUGCAGACUAGGUGUUUGGACGGCCACGUGCCGUUCUAGUGCCGCAGGA